UACCAUCCUUUGACAUCCAGUGAAUUUUCCAGAGAUGGAUUAGUGCCUUCGGGAACACUGAGACAGGUGCUGCAUGGCUGUCGUCAGCUCGUGUUGUGAGAUGUUGGGUUAAGUCCCGCAACGAGCGCAACCCUUAUCCUUAGUUGCCAGCACGUAAUGGUGGGAACUCUGGGGAGACUGCCGGUGAUAAACCGGAGGAAGGUGGGGACGACGUCAAGUCAUCAUGGCCCUUACGGGAUGGGCUACACACGUGCUACAAUGGCGCAUACAAAGGGCAGCAAGCCAGCGAUGGUUAGCGAAUCUCAUAAAGUGCGUCGUAGUCCGGAUUGGAGUCUGCAACUCGACUCCAUGAAGUCGGAAUCGCUAGUAAUCGUGGAUCAGAAUGCCACGGUGAAUACGUUCCCGGGCCUUGUACACACCGCCCGUCACACCAUGGGAGUGGGCUGCACCAGAAGUGGUUAGUUUAACCUUCGGGAGAACGAUCACCACGGUGUGGUUCAUGACU
rnacentral:rRNA from 1 species